GAGUUUGAUCAUGGCUCAGAGCGAACGUUAGCGGCAGGCCUAACACAUGCAAGUCGCACGAGAAUCCGGUUUCGGCCGGUAGUAAAGUGGCGGACGGGUGAGUAACACGUGGAUAAUCUGCCCUUCGGCGGGGGACAACAGUCCGAAAGGAUUGCUAAUACCGCAUACGUCAGCGAGCUCUUCGGAGCUUGUUGGGAAAGAUGGCCUCUUCAUGAAAGCUAUCACCGAAGGAUGAGUCCGCGGCCCAUCAGCUAGUUGGCGGGGUAAUGGCCCACCAAGGCUUAGACGGGUAGCUGGUCUGAGAGGAUGGCCAGCCACAUUGGGACUGAGAGACGGCCCAGACUCCUACGGGAGGCAGCAGUGGGGAAUCUUGCGCAAUGGGCGCAAGCCUGAUGCAGCGACGCCGCGUGAGUGAAGAAGGCCUUCGGGUCGUAAGCUC
rnacentral:rRNA from 1 species